rnacentral:rRNA from 1 species
GACGAACGCUAGCGGCAGGCUUAAUACAUGCAAGUCGAGGGGCAGCAUGACCGUAGCAAUACGGUUGAUGGCGACCGGCAAACGGGUGCGGAACACGUACACAACCUUCCUUUGAGCAGGGAAUAGCCCAGAGAAAUUUGGAUUAAUACCCCAUAGCAUAUUGAAAAGGCAUCUUUUUAAUAUUAACGAUUUAUCACUUAAAGAUGGGUGUGCGGCUGAUUAGGUAGUUGGCGGGGUAAUGGCCCACCAAGCCGACGAUCAGUAACUGGUGUGAGAGCACGACCAGUCAAACGGGCACUGAGACACGGGCCCGACUCCUACGGGAGGCAGCAGUAAGGAAUAUUGGUCAAUGGACGGAAGUCUGAACCAGCCAUGCCGCGUGGAGGAUGAAGGUCCUCUGGAUUGUAAAUUUCUUUUAUCUGGGACGAAAAAAGGGAAUUCUUUCUCGUCUGACGGUACCAGAUGAAUAAGCACCGGCUAACUCCGUGCCAGCCGCCGGCGUAAUAC